rnacentral:rRNA from 1 species
GACGGAGGGUGCUAACGUUGUUCGGAAUCACUGGGCGUAAAGGGCGCGUAGGCGGCGUCGCAAGUCGGCUUGUGAAAGCCCGGGGCUCAACCCCGGAGGUGCAGCCGAGACUGCGGUGCUCGAGGCCGGAAGAGGAGGGUGGAAUACCCAGUGUAGAGGUGAAAUUCGUAGAUAUUGGGUGGAACACCGGUGGCGAAAGCGGCUCUCUGGUCCGGUUCUGACGCUGAGGCGCGAAAGCGUGGGGAGCAAACAGG